rnacentral:lncRNA from 1 species
GAGGAGUUAGUUGCAAACAAACUAGCCAGCUACACGGGCACAGGCUCCUUUAGUCUCCUCAAUCUCAGUUACUCCACUGCCCUGGGCAUUUUCUCUACUGGAGCUAGUUGGUGACGUCUGCAAACUCAGGACAUCUUUGACCGCUGGCUCAUUGGAGGGAAUGCAGCUAGCAAAUAUUUCUCACUAACCAUUCUUUCUUUUAUAGCUCUUUAAGAAGCCUCUGACUCGAUGGCAUCCUUUCAAAAAGAGGAACUCCGGGUUGGAGACCGUACCGCAACCGCGAAGUACCGAGGCUGGCUUGGAACCCAAAGCCGCAGGUGCUGCUUGCUGUCACAGCUGCGCGCCAGCUCCCGCCCUGGGCCACAGUAAGUCCCUACCCUGGGGUGACGGGCACAAUUACACCAGCUCCCGGAGGGGGAUGGCAUCCCACCACCAUCGGGGCCUCCCGGGAGCCGCACACCUGUAAGCAUCUAGGACGCGGAAGCCUUUGGACCGCGCCAGGCGGGUGAGGAAGGCCCGGCGGCUGCGGCCCAUUCGCGGCUCCGCAAGGUAGAUGGCCACAUCCGGGAAGCGCACCACCGAGGGCGGCGUGGAAGAGGCUACCGCGCUGUGUGGGGACCCAGCUCGCACUCGCCGUCGCUUCGGAAGCAUCUGGGCACCAACUCUGGAAGCACAGGAAGCCGCAGAACGAAGGAAGGCAGGGUCAUGAAAGAAGGCGGAAGGAGGAGAGAGGAAGUGGUGUCUGCUCUAUGCAAACGAGACGCCCUCUAGGAUGCUUUUGGCUUCCCAUCGGAAGCCCCAGUUCUAUGCAAAUAACGCCCGAGGAUUCUUAUUUGAACUACUCUCAUAGAAAGCCCCAGUGGUUUCCCAGACCUUAGAGUAGCCUGGGCCCGUAGGCGGGGCUUCGCCUCGUACUGGGCGGGCACUUUUCUCCUCUCGGGGGCGGAGUCUCGGCCUCUCUUCCUCGCCCCCGAGGGCGGGGUCUCAGGUUAUCCUGGCCAUAUGAGAAGUCCUGGAUAACCCUCCACUGCCUCUGCUGGUGACAGAGCGCCCACGCCACUUCCCCUGGGUAUGCAGAGGGGAACGGAGUUUGAGUAGUAUACAUGUGAGCUGGUGGAGGGUGAAAACGUUUUCCAAUGUAACGAACAGCAUUGGGACAGCUGGCGUUCCAUUUGGAAAGUUAAGUCUGCAACCCUAUAGGUUGGAACAAUAAUAUGAACUAACCAGUACUCCCAGAUCUCAUGUCUCUAGCUGCAUAUGUAGCGGAAGAUGGCUUAGUCGGCCAUCAUUGGGAAGAGAGGCCCCUUGGUCUUGCAAACUUUAUAUGCCUCAGUACAGGGGAACACCAGGGCCAAGAAGUGGGAGUGAGUGGGUAGGGGAACAGGGCGGGGGAGGGUAUAGGGGACUUUCGGGAUAGCAUUUGAAAUGUAAAGUAAGAAAACACCUAAUAAAAAAUUGGGGAAAAAAAAAAAAAGACUAGAUCCCAGUGGAAGUGAACAGAAAUGGUUUCUAUGUGCCCUUUUUCCCCGAUUGAAGAAAAAUAAUUCCAGUGGCUCUUCAUCUGGAACAGCAUUAUUUAUGGAUUUUAUAGAUUAAACUUAUUAAAAUUCCUUUAUAGUUACAUUAGGAAGGAUUUUGAGUCCUGAUUGAUACCCUUUGUUCAGUUAUUUCACUGGAUCUUUUGUCAGAAAUGUUCCUAUGCCCCAUUAUGCCAUAGUC